rnacentral:rRNA from 1 species
UACGUAGGGGGCUAGCGUUGUCCGGAAUCAUUGGGCGUAAAGCGCGUGUAGGCGGUCCGGUAAGUCCGCUGUGAAAGUCGGGGGCUCAACCCUCGAAUGCCGGUGGAUACUGUCGGGCUAGAGUGCGGAAGAGGCGAGUGGAAUUCCUGGUGUAGCGGUGAAAUGCGCAGAUAUCAGGAGGAACACCCGUGGCGAAAGCGGCUCUCUGGGACGGUACUGACGCUGAGACGCGAAAGCGUGGGGAGCAAACAGG